CCUACGGGAGGCAGCAGUGAGGAAUAUUGGUCAAUGGGCGCAGGCCUGAACCAGCCAAGUCGCGUGAGGGAAGACUGCCCUAUGGGUUGUAAACCUCUUUUAUAAGGGAAGAAUAAGGACUACGUGUAGUCAGAUGCCCGUACCUUAAGAAUAAGCAUCGGCAAACUCCGUGCCAGCAGCCGCGGUAAUACGGAGGAUGCGAGCGUUAUCCGGAUUUAUUGGGGUUAAAGGGUGGGUAGGCGGGUGUCCAAGUUAGUGGUAAAACGUCGGGGCUAAACCUUGAAUGGCCAUUGAAACUGGAGUACUAGAGUACAGACGAGGUAGGCGGAAUGAGUGGAGUAGCGGUGAAAUGCUUAGAUAUCACGCAGAACCCCGAUAGCGAAGGCAGCUUACCGGACCGUUACUGACGCUGAGGCACGAAAGCGUGGGUAGCGAACAGGAUUAGAUACCCGGGUAGUC
rnacentral:rRNA from 1 species